GAUAAGAGAGGGCUUGCUCCCGUUAGCGGAGGUUCAGUCAAUAUCUUCAUGACUGACACACUGCAUCGGGAGCAAGCCCCCUCCCACA
rnacentral:misc_RNA from 1 species